rnacentral:rRNA from 1 species
CAAUAGCGUAUAUUAAAGUUGUUGCGGUAAAAAAGCUCGUAGUUGGAUUUCUACCGAAGAUAGCCGGUCGGGUCUUCGACUUUGUAUCUGGUUUUGUCUUUGGUAUCCUCAUAGGGAACGUUUCUGCGCUUUAUUGCGUGGUGCGGUAUCUAUGACUUUUACUUUGAGGAAAUUAGAGUGUUCACGGCAGGCAAACGCCUUGAAUAUAUUAGCAUGGAAUAAUAACAUAGGAUCUUCGUCCUAUUUUGUUGGUUUCUAGGGCUAAGAUAAUGAUUAAUAGGGAUAAUUGGGGGCAUCUGUAUCAACGCGUCAGAGGUGGAAUUCUUGGAUUGCGUUGCGACAAACUACUGCGAAAGCAUUUGCCAAGGAUGUUUUCAUUGA